rnacentral:SRP_RNA from 1 species
GCUGGGCAUGGUGGUGUGUGCCUGUGGUCCCAGCCACUGAGGAGGCUGAGGCAGGAGGAUCACUUGAGCCCAGGAGUUGGAGGCUGCAGUGAGCUGUGAUCAUGCCACUGCACUCCAGCCUGGGUGACACAGUGAGAUCUUGUCUCAA